rnacentral:rRNA from 1 species
UGGGGAAUUUUGGACAAUGGGGGAAACCCUGAUCCAGCCAUCCCGCGUGUGCGAUGAAGGCCUUCGGGUUGUAAAGCACUUUUGGCAGGAAAGAAACGUCAUGGGUUAAUACCCCGUGAAACUGACGGUACCUGCAGAAUAAGCACCGGCUAACUACGUGCCAGCAGCCGCGGUAAUACGUAGGGUGCAAGCGUUAAUCGGAAUUACUGGGCGUAAAGCGUGCGCAGGCGGUUCGGAAAGAAAGAUGUGAAAUCCCAGAGCUCAACUUUGGAACUGCAUUUUUAACUACCGGGCUAGAGUGUGUCAGAGGGAGGCGGAAUUCCGCGUGUAGCAGUGAAAUGCGUAUAUAUGCGGAGGAACACCGAUGGCGAAGGCAGCCUCCUGGGAUAACACUGACGCUCAUGCACGAAAGCGUGGGGAGCAAACAGG